AUACGUAGGGGGCGAGCGUUGUCCGGAAUGAUUGGGCGUAAAGGGCGCGUAGGCGGCGCGGUAAGUCUGGAGUGAAAGUCCUGCUUUCAAGGUGGGAAUUGCUUUGGAUACUGCCGCGCUUGAGUGCAGGAGAGGUUAUCGGAAUUCCCGGUGUAGCGGUGAAAUGUGUAGAGAUCGGGAGGAACACCAGUGGCGAAGGCGGGUAACUGGACUGCAACUGACGCUGAGGCGCGAAAGUGUGGGGAGCAAACAGGAUUAGAUACCCUGGUAGUCCACACUGUAAACGAUGAAUGCUAGGUGUAAGAGGUAUCGACCCCUUUUGAGCCGGAGUCAACACAAUAAGCAUUCCGCCUGGGGAGUACGGCCGCAAGGUUGAAACUCAAAUGAAUUGACGGGG
rnacentral:rRNA from 1 species